rnacentral:rRNA from 1 species
GCAUAUCAAUAAGCGGAGGAAAAGAAACCAACAGGGAUUGCCCUAGUAACGGCGAGUGAAGCGGCAACAGCUCAAAUUUGAAAUCUGGCUCUUUCAGAGUCCGAGUUGUAAUUUGCAGAGGGCGCUUUGGCUUUGGCAGCGGUCCAAGUUCCUUGGAACAGGACGUCACAGAGGGUGAGAAUCCCGUACGUGGUCGCUAGCUAUUGCCGUGUAAAGCCCCUUCGACGAGUCGAGUUGUUUGGGAAUGCAGCUCUAAAUGGGAGGUAAAUUUCUUCUAAAGCUAAAUAUUGGCCAGAGACCGAUAGCGCACAAGUAGAGUGAUCGAAAGAUGAAAAGCACUUUGGAAAGAGAGUCAAACAGCACGUGAAAUUGUUGAAAGGGAAGCGCUUGCAGCCAGACUUGCUUGCAGUUGCUCAUCCGGGCUUUUGCCCGGUGCACUCUUCUGCAGGCAGGCCAGCAUCAGUUUGGGCGGUGGGAUAAAGGUCUCUGACACGUUCCUUCCUUCGGGUUGGCCAUAUAGGGGAGACGUCAUACCACCAGCCUGGACUGAGGUCCGCGCAUCUGCUAGGAUGCUGGCGUAAUGGCUGUAAGCGGCCCGUCUUGAAACACGGACC